ACCUCAGCCCUGUCACCCUGCGCGUGUCUCUGCCAUGCUUCCUUGGAUCCCUAUCUACCCCGUUUUGGGUGACAGGACGAGUUGGGCCAGUUACCAGGAUCUUGUCGCCUGGUUCUGAUGGUGUCUUGGUUCCCGGCUGGGGUUUUGUGUUUACCACGAGCGUUGCCUGCUGUCGGGGAGCUGCGUGUGUUUCACAACAAACAGGGAGCCAGGGAGACCACCCUGCGGGGCUGCCCCUUCCCUCAGCGCUUUCUGCUUGGGUCGCUGGCGUCUUGCAGUGCCUUCGUUCGUCUGUGGUGUGAGGUGCUGGUCCAGGCUUACGCGCUAACAGUGAAUUAGAAGGAGAAAACGCUCUGCGAGUGCAGCGGAAGGUCAAUAUGGAGCCUGGUUUGCUUUUAGAAUCUUCCCAAGGCCGAUGGGCUUCCUCUUCCCUCCUGACCAGAGGCUUUGAUGCCCCUGCCCUGGGCUGCCUGGUUCCUGCCCCGAGUCUUCAGAAAGAUCCCCGGGCCUGGAGACUGUGAGUUCAGGUUCAGAUGCCUUGCGUGGCCUGUGAAUCCU
ensembl:lncRNA LINC01301 long intergenic non-protein coding RNA 1301